rnacentral:rRNA from 1 species
AUUGAACGCUGGCGGCAGGCCUAACACAUGCAAGUCGAACGGUAGCACAGAGAGCUUGCUCUCGGGUGACGAGUGGCGGACGGGUGAGUAAUGUCUGGGAAACUGCCCGAUGGAGGGGGAUAACUACUGGAAACGGUAGCUAAUACCGCAUAAUGUCGCAAGACCAAAGAGGGGGACCUUCGGGCCUCUUGCCAUCGGAUGUGCCCAGAUGGGAUUAGCGAGUUGGUGAGGUAAUGGCUCACCAAGGCGACGAUCCCUAGCUGGUGUGAGAGGAUGACCAGCCACACUGGAACUGAGACACGGUCCAGACUACUACGGGAGGAAGCAGUGGGGAAAAUUGCGCAAUGGGAGCAAGCCUGAUGCAGCCAUGCCGCGUGUAUGAAGAAGGCCUUCGCGUUGUAAAGUACUUUCAGCGGGGAGGAAGGCGAUACGGUUAAUAACCGUAUUGAUUGACGUUACCAGCAGAAGAAGCACCGGCUAACUCCGUG